UGUUGAAAAACCGGUUCUCCUACGAUCACCGAAGUUAAGCAAGGUCGAACCUGGUCAGUAUCUAGAUGAGUGAUCGAUUGGGAAUAUAAGGUGCUGUAA